GAUGAACGCUGGCGGCGUGCCUAAUACAUGCAAGUCGAACGAGUGGCGGACGGGCGAGCAAUGUCUGGAAAACUGCCUGACGGAGGGGGCAAACUACUGGAACCGGUAGCUACUACCGCUUAACAUCCGAUGUGCCCAGAGGGGAUGAGCUAGUAGGUGGGGUAAAGGCUCACCUAGGCGACGAUCCCUAGCUGGUCUGAGAGGAUGACCAGCCACACUGGAACUGAGACACGGUCCAGACUCCUACGGGAGGCAGCAGUGGGGAAUAUUGCGCAAUGGGCGCAAGCCUGAUGCAGCCAUGCCGCGUGUAUGAAGAAGGCUUUCGGGUUGUAAAGUUCUUUCGGCAGGGAGGCGUUACCCGCAGAGGAAGCAACGGCUAACUACGGGCCAGCAGCCGCGGUAAUAC
rnacentral:rRNA from 1 species